AAUGAACGCUGGCGGCAUGCCUUACACAUGCAAGUCGAGCGGCAGCAUGACCUAGCUUGCUAGGUUGAUGGCGAGUGGCGAACGGGUGAGUAAUGCAUCGGAACGUGCCUUUUAGUGGGGGAUAACGUAGCGAAAGUUACGCUAAUACCGCAUAUUCUCUGAGGAGGAAAGCAGGGGACCUUCGGGCCUUGCGCUAGAAGAGCGGCCGAUGUCGGAUUAGCUAGUUGGUGAGGUAAAGGCUCACCAAGGCAACGAUCCGUAGCGGGUCUGAGAGGAUGAUCCGCCACACUGGGACUGAGACACGGCCCAGACUCCUACGGGAGGCAGCAGUGGGGAAUUUUGGACAAUGGGCGCGAGCCUGAUCCAGCCAUGCCGCGUGAGUGAAGAAGGCCUUCGGGUUGUAAAGCUCUUUCGGCUGGGAAGAAAUCGCACCCUCUAAUACAGGGUGUGGAUGACGGUACCAGCAUAAGAAGCACCGGCUAACUACGUG
rnacentral:rRNA from 1 species